rnacentral:rRNA from 1 species
UACGUAGGUGGCGAGCGUUGUCCGGAUUUACUGGGCGUAAAGGGAGCGUAGGCGGACUCUUAAGUGAGAUGUGAAAUACUCGGGCUCAACUUGAGUGCUGCAUUUCAAACUGGAAGUCUAGAGUGCAGGAGAGGAGAAUGGGAUUCCUAGUGUAGCGGUGAAAUGCGUAGAGAUUAGGAAGAACACCAGUGGCGAAGGCGAUUCUCUGGACUGUAACUGACGCUGAGGCUCGAAAGCGUGGGGAGCAAACAGG